UAAAGAGAGAGGGCUGCUCUGAUUGGACAGAGUGAAGCUGUAUUUCUCUGUCCACUCGCUUCAUAAAUUCACCCGAUCACUUUUCCAAGCAUGUUCGCGUUCUGAUCGUUUAGAUGGCUGCAGCUUGUUACUGUAAUAAAUCACACGGCGAGGAUGUUUGCUAUCAAGCUAUCAAUGUGUUUAACAUCUAACAAGAGGGAAAAACAUGAAACGCUGCUGCACAUUCUGACUGAGUGAAAGCAAACUUGAGGACACACAGACACACACACACACACACCCACCCCUCCACACGCUGCUCCUAAUCUGCAGCUUUUUUGCAGUAAGAACGUGCAGGGAGGUAUUUUGCAUAUUAGGCUUAUUCAAAAACAAGUAUCACAAGUAUCAUCUGAGCCGAUCCGACGGCCAACUGUCAACUUACGGAUACGAAUGCGAGGAUGGCCAUGUCGGCACACCCCUACUCAAUCCCCUUCUCGUCCAGGAUGUCCACCUCUGAUGUAGGUGUAGGUCUAGAACACCAUGGUGCAGUUCUGCCGGUCAACGGGAAGUACGCCACCUGGACACAGGAAACAGGAAGAGGAGGGGGUGUUACGACAAAGAAGGGGCUGCAGAAGAGGGCAAGGGGAGACCAGGUCACCCUCCCACUACUAUAAGCCUGGAUAGCCACACGGAGGGCCACAUCAAACACACCAUCAUUACUGCAGAACGAGAGAAAGGGAGGGAGGGGAGAGGGAUGGAGGGAGGGAAGGGAGGAGGAGAGAGAGUGCAGAGAGAGAGAUUGAGAAAAAGAGAGAGUUAGAAACAGAAGAAUACCAUUCUCACUGUACAUGAGAGCUAUUCUGUCUAUAGGACUGUACACUAUUAGAAAUAAGCUUCUAUCUAAGUACCUAAAUGGGUUAUUUGGCUGUUCCCAUUUAAUAACCCUUUUGGUUCCAGGCAGAACCAUUUUGAGUUCCAUGUAGAACCCUUUCUUCAGAGAGUUCUACAUGAAACCCAAAGGGUUCUCCUAUGUGGACAGAAGAUUAAGGUUCUCUAGUGUCC